rnacentral:rRNA from 1 species
UACGGGGGGAGCAAGCGUUGUUCGGAUUCACUGGGCGUAAAGGGUGCGUAGGUGGCCAGGUAAGUUCGGUGUGAAAGCUCGGAGCUUAACUUCGAAAUGUCAUUGAAUACUAUCUGGCUAGAGGGUCGGAGGGGAGACUGGAAUUCUCGGUGUAGCAGUGAAAUGCGUAGAUAUCGAGAGGAACACCAGUGGCGAAGGCGAGUCUCUGGACGACACCUGACACUGAGGCACGAAAGCUAGGGGAGCAAACAGG